CACUUCAGUUACCUGUGGCUGUGGCUUUUGUCAUCUUUCUUGGAGAUUCCUCUCGUAGUUUGUGUUGUGAGAUUGAUUCGUCGAACAAAGGCUUUCAGAUUCUCUUCAAGAUAAAACGUAUUCGAGCAUUGAGUUUCUAUUCGGCAAGCUCUCCGAGUUCAUGAUCUUCCCUAAAUUGGCGCAACCUUAACCUGGUCUUCAUUUUCUGCUCGUCUAAUUAGACAUGGAAGACCUUCCAGUUGAGAUUAUUGGAAAAAUACUCUCUCUUCUACAAUCUGUCCAAGAUCUGGCGAUCGCUUCGACAACUUGUAAGAAAUGGAGAGAGGCUGUGCGGAAUCACCUCCAUACUUUGAGCUUCCACUCGGAUUAUUGGCCAGGUUCUAAAAGCCUUUCGACGAGGAGAUUGGAAGUUAUAAUAACACAAAUGAUACUUCAGACCACUGGACUUGAGAACUUAUACAUUUUUAUGGAUGAAGUAGAUGCAUUCUCGGCUUCCUCAGUGACUGCUUGGCUCAUGCAUACGAAACACACAGUCGUUCGACUGCACUAUAAUGUCAACACUAUUCCAAGCAUCAAUAUAAUUGAGAAGUGUGGUCGACACAAACUAGAAGCGUUGGCAUUGGCUAAUAAUCCGAUAGAUCAUAUUGAACCGGCUUAUCCUAAGCUCUCUUGUUUGAAUUAUCUAUCACUCUGUUAUGUCAUCAUUUCUAAGCCAGAUCUAAACCUUCUUAUCUCUGCUUGUCCAAACCUUAAAAGGGUAUCUGUAGUUCACCCAGAAUUUACGGGGACAGAUGAGACGAGAGCAAUGGAAAUUAGAAGUUCUUCAUUGAAGGAGAUCUUCGUUGACGGUGUCGGUAAAGAGGAUAUCACGCUAGAGACUGAUACCCUUGAAAUUUUACAUUUAAAAGAUUGUAGUCCUGAAGUAUUUCAGCUAAUUGGCAAAGGAACUCUGAGAGUUCUGAAGCUCGAGGAGGUUUCGGCUUUCGAACUGGGUAUUGGAGAUAACACUGAAAAUCUUGAAACAGUGGAUCUCAGCGGUACUGCAAUUGUGUGGCAGGGAUUCUAUCAUCUGCUCUCAAAGGCAUCAAUGUUGAAGAGGCUUCGGCUGUGGAAUGUAAGAAUUUAUGAUAGUGAUGAAGAAGUUGUGGAUUUGGGCUCAAUUUCCACCAAUUUUCCCCAGUUAAGCCAAUUAUCUUUAAGUUUGGAUCUAAGACGUAGAGCCUUUCAUCAGAACUUGCAGAGAUCUUUUCAGAUGGAGAAUGUGACCAUAUUAGAAGUUGGAUGGAAGGAAAAUAAUGUUUUUUUCUCUGAAUGGGUGGCGAAACUUGUUAAAAUAUGUCCAAAGUUGAAGAAAUUGACAAUCUUCGGGUUUGUAUCAGGAGCCAUGACCAAUACGCAAUGCCACACCCUAUCGAGUUUUGCCACGGCUUUCGUCGAACUUAUGAGAAAAUAUCAGCAUAUUCAGGUCGGGUUCGUCUUUGCAUAGGAUUUAGGCAACCAAAUAUGCGGCUGCUUAGCAAUGUUUGUAUUCGCCACUAAAUCAACGUUCUGCUUGCCGCCUGAGGCUCCUGAAGAUAUAGUCUUGCUGCAUGACAUUAUGAUCCCCUUACUAACUACGAGAGUCUUCUUAUUGUUGCCUUCCUGCACGAAUUAUGGUCCCUGGCUGUCAUUCAUUCUGCGCUCUUGGACCAAAGACCUCUGAAGAAGUCAAAUCCGCCAUCUUUCCUAGCGUACAGGCCAUUCACCCGUGCAAGAUUCGAGUCAUCUGAAGAAAAGAAAGACAAGCAAGCCCAAUUUCCUGCUGGACAUGCUGGUUGGUUCAUUCAUGCCAAAUUCUCGAAGUCCUGCAUGCACCGAGGUUUUUCUGUGAACCGUCGUAAGUUUCCUGCUAACUACUUGAGUGUGUUUCGUGUUUUGCCU